CUUUCUCUUUCCAGAUGGGUUUCUUGGCUUGUUCACAGUUAACGCUCAAAAGCUUUUGCCCGAACAUUCUCAGCAUCUUUCACAACAUCUCUCAGGAAGCUCUUCAGUAUGCAGAAGAAGGUGCAGAGUGAAGAGAUUGGACAGACCCAAUCAGCGAGACUCCUGGACUUCAUCUUGAAGAGCAUGGGAGGAAAGCACUAGGCAUGUGCUCCGCUCCGAUUAGAAGCGUAGAAGCAGUAGCAAAUUGGCCUGCUCCGCCUUGCCCAGAGGCGGAGUAGAAGCGGACCGCGGACCCCUAGAAGCAAGGCGAAGAGAAGCGCCCAUUUUUCGGAGCUCCUAUUUCAGGCGGAGCGCUCCGGUCGCCAUCUUGAAACAUUUCGCCCAUAGGAUUGCAUUGCGGAAAACAAUCGUGGAUAACUACUGGGUUGUUUUUGAAGCUAUCGUUCUGAAAAUUCUUGUGCUCAGAGAGUCGUGGAUGGGGGUGAUUUUGAGACUACUCUCACCUCUCUGCAUCGUGUGGGUCAAGUGCUAGAAUUCUUUAAAAAUCGGGUAAACAAACGGACAGCGCGGGUCAAACGGCGGUUUUCGCCCAUAGGAUUGCAUUGCGGAAAAGAAUUGGGGAUAACUGGGUUGUUUUUUAAGCUAUCGUACUGAAAAUUCUUGUGCUCAGAGAGUCAUGGAUGGGGGUCAUUUUGAGACUACUCUCACCUCUCUGUGUGGUGCGGGUCGCACGCUAGAAUUUUUUUAAAAAUCGGCAGGGAAAAUACCUUUUUCAAAGGGCUGAGGGGCAGAGUCAGCUCCCGGUCAUGAUCACAUGAUCCCAAAGUUGGAGGAAGGGAUAGGCAAAACGGGUAACUUGGGAUUCUUCUCUUUCUUAAUCUGAACGGACUUUUCCCAGUGUUUUUUAAAACAGUAGCCCCACCAAAUGCACAAACACAACCUGAAAUCAUAUACUAAGCCAAUAAUAAGAGAGCACUGCUACCCACCCUAACUUUGGGGAACAACUGAAAAGAUGUGGUGCAAGGGGAUGAGCUCCCCUAGGGCAUCUCAUUGUGGACGUGCCCUCACACUCUCCUGUACUUGGAAGGCCAUCAGAGCCUUCCAAAGAGAGUAACCCGGUGGAUCAAUGCCUAUCAUGAGUCGAAGUGAGCAUUCUACUUCUCUUAGUGGUGGAGCAAUGCCUAUCAUGAGUUGAAGUGAGCGUUUACUCCUCAGAGCUGUUGGUGAAGCAAUGGCUUUCAUGAGCUGAACUGGCAGCUGCUUCCCCCUCCCCCGGGCACGUCCCCCUAUUACUGGUAAAAGACAGAUAUAGCCUUUUUUAAAAAGUUCUUCUUGUUGUUUAUUCAGCAACACUGCUGCUUUUAAUUCCA